rnacentral:rRNA from 1 species
AUUGAACGCUAGCGGGAUGCCUUACACAUGCAAGUCGAACGGAGUGGCGAAAGGGUGAGUAAUGUAUAGGAACGUGCCCAGUAGCGGGGGAUAACUACGCGAAAGCGUAGAUAAUACCGCAUAGUAUUGGAGCGGACGAUAUCGGAUUAGCUAGUUGGUGGGGUAACGGCUCACCAAGGCGACGAUCCGUAGCUGGUUUGAGAGGACGACCAGCCACACUGGGACUGAGACACGGCCCAAACUCCUACGGGAGGCAGCAGUAGGGAAUUUUGGACAAUGGGGGAAAGCCUGAUCCAGCCAUCCCGCGUGGGCGAAGAAGGUCUUCGGGUUGUAAAGCACUUUUGUCAGGAAAGCGGUACCUGCAGAGUAAGCACCGGCUAACUACGUGCCAGCAGCCGCGGUAAUAC